rnacentral:rRNA from 1 species
AAGUUGCAGGGUAUAGACCCGAAACCCGGUGAUCUAGCCAUGGGCAGGUUGAAGGUUGGGUAACACUAACUGGAGGACCGAACCGACUAAUGUUGAAAAAUUAGCGGAUGACCUGUGGCUGGGGGUGAAAGGCCAAUCAAACCGGGAGAUAGCUGGUUCUCCCCGAAAGCUAUUUAGGUAGCGCCUCGUGAAUUCAUCUCCGGGGGUAGAGCACUGUUUCGGCUAGGGGGCCAUCCCGGCUUACCAACCCGAUGCAAACUGCGAAUACCGGAGAAUGUUAUCACGGGAGACACACGGCGGGUGCUAACGUCCGUCGUGAAGAGGGAAACAACCCAGACCGCCAGCUAAGGUCCCAAAGUCAUGGUUAAGUGGGAAACGAUGUGGGAAGGCCCAGACAGCCAGGAUGUUGGCUUAGAAGCAGCCAUCAUUUAAAGAAAGCGUAAUAGCUCACUGGUCGAGUCGGCCUGCGCGGAAGAUGUAACGGGGCUAAACCAUGCACCGAAGCUGCGGCAGCGACACUCAGGUGUUGUUGGGUAGGGGAGCGUUCUGUAAGCCUGUGAAGGUGGCCUGUGAGGGUUGCUGGAGGUAUCAGAAGUGCGAAUGCUGACAUAAGUAACGAUAAAGCGGGUGAAAAGCCCGCUCGCCGGAAGACCAAGGGUUCCUGUCCAACGUUAAUCGGGGCAGGGUGAGUCGACCCCUAAGGCGAGGCCGAAAGGCGUAGUCGAUGGGAAACGGGUUAAUAUUCCCGUACUUGGUGUUACUGCGAAGGGGGGGACGGAGAAG